CUACGGGCGGCUGCAGUGGGGAAUAUUGGACAAUGGGCGAAAGCCUGAUCCAGCAAUGCCGCGUGAGUGAUGAAGGCCUUAGGGUUGUAAAGCUCUUUUACCAGGGAUGAUAAUGACAGUACCUGGAGAAUAAGCUCCGGCUAACUCCGUGCCAGCAGCCGCGGUAAUACGGAGGGAGCUAGCGUUGUUCGGAAUUACUGGGCGUAAAGAGUACGUAGGCGGUUAUUCAAGUCAGAGGUGAAAGCCUGGAGCUCAACUCCAGAACUGCCUUUGAAACUAGAUAGCUAGAAUUAUGGAGAGGUUAGUGGAAUUCCGAGUGUAGAGGUGAAAUUCGUAGAUAUUCGGAAGAACACCAGUGGCGAAGGCGACUAACUGGACAUAUAUUGACGCUGAGGUACGAAAGCGUGGGGAGCAAACAGGAUUAGAUACCCGGGUAGUC
rnacentral:rRNA from 1 species